GCGUGCGCGCGCUGCGUCUAACGCGGAUGUAAACAGUGGCUGCUGCGUGUGGGGGGAAACGCGAACAUGGCACCGAAGCUGGAGCGAGUUGUGAGCCCGGGGAAAGGGAACGGCCUGCGGGCGGCCGUCCGGCUCCGCAGGGGGGAGCUGGUGUACUCCGCGGAGCCGCUGGCGUGUUGUGUGUCCAGCAAACUGUGCGAGGACGUGUGCCACCACUGCUUCACACGGCAGGAGAAGUUGCUGAGGUGUUCCCAGUGUAAGACGGCUCGCUACUGCAAUGCCUCAUGCCAGAAACGUGCGUGGCCCGGCCAUAAGACAGAGUGUAGAUGUCUGCAGAGGCUCCUGCCCAGAACUCCCACUGACUCAGUCCGUCUGGCUGCCAGACUCGUCUUGGCCUCGCUAAGUCCAUCUAAGGGCAGAAGUGAGGAGCUCUACACUCUGGAGGAGCACGAAUCACACCUCAGUUCCAUGUCUGAGCAGAAGAAACAGGGCCUGUCUCAGCUGGCGGCCAUGUUGGAGGUGUAUCUGCAGCAGGAGGCCGAGGGCAGAGCAUCGCUGCCUUCUUCCUGCAGGGACCCCCUCAGUCUGAUCGCUAAGGUGACGUGUAAUUGUUUCACCAUCAGUGAUGGAGAGUUGCAGGAGGUUGGAGUCGGGCUGUACCCGAGCCUGUCUCUAUUAAACCAUGACUGUAGGCCAAACUGUGUGAUGGUGUUUGAGGGGACAACGCUGCACCUCAGAGCUGUUCGGGAAAUCAACCCAGAGGAGGAGCUGACUAUAAGUUACAUCGGCACGUUGCUGUUGACUGACGAGCGACGGGUCCAGCUGGAGGAGCAGUACCACUUCACCUGCCUCUGCCAGAGAUGCGAAUCCAAAGACGACGACGCCCUCAUGCUCGCUGGUGAUGAAGCCGCGUGGAUCAAGCUGAAGGAGGCCCUUCCCGGCCUGGAGGCGCUGAAGGCAGAGUGUGACUGGAGAUCUCUCUCGGAGCGAUGCUGUCGUUUGUUAUCUGCCGUCGGAGGCGACGUGCCCGAUGAAAAUCUCUACAAGCUCAGGAUGACUGACAUGGCUUUAGAUGCCUGCAUCCACCUGGGAGACUGGGAGGAGGCGCUGAGAUAUGGCAGGACGACCCUGCCAGCAUACAGGUUCCGUCUCCCUCCUCAGUACGUGAUGUGAUAGAUGCUUUGCACGCGCCCGGCUCCGCGCCGCGCUGGAUGCGACGCCGCGCGCGUCCCCGUGGCCGUCGGAACAUGCAAACGUGCGCAGCAACAAGUGUUGUGGAUCAAAAUUCACUGUUCAACCCUCAAUGACUCACAGAAGGCAGAGGUUCUCUGUCUAUAAACUCUUGGUUUUACAGUAACCUUCAGCAGGAUGUCAGCUGCAAAUCAUUGCUGCAUCGAUAUCUGUGCAGCCACAAAUCUGUGAACAAAGUUGUUUAAUUGGCAAAAAGUAAAUCUUUACAAUAUAUGACAAAGAUUAUCCAGCCGCUAAAGGUGAGCAGGUGGGUUAAUGGACGGUCAGUGCGGGAUGGGAUUAGUCCCUGAUGAAGUGUCAGGCUUAACUCUUAUUUAAAUGUCCUUUGUCCUGAUAAGCGAUGAUACGGAGGCUUCACUGUCCAACACUCGCUGCUAAUCUGUGUUUCUCUUCUACUUCCUUGAUGUUCUGCUAAAUAACAUAAUCCACGUCUGUCGCCAACAUCAGCUCUGAUCUUUUGCUCCCCAACCAGCGCUUCAUUAGUUCCACUGCGUUUGCCUGAAAAUGCUGCACUUUUCCACGACUUACUAAUUCCUCCUCCUGCUCUCGGCCCCGAGCUGCGGCGUUGACGACACUCUUUACAGUUCUAGGGCAAAAUAAGAUGUGGGAAAUCAGCAGACGGCAAGAAUAGGAAUGAUUUUAAUGUACUUUAUUUUGAUUACUGCCGUCGUUGUGGAUACUGUGUGUGUGUGUGUGUGUGUGUGUGUGUGUGUGUGUGUGUGUGUGUGUGUGUGUGUGUGUGUGUGUGUGUGUGUGUGUGUGUGUGUGUGUGUGUGUGUGUGUGUGUGUGUGUGUGUGUGUGUGUGUGUGUGUGUGUGUGUGUGUGUGUGUGUGCGCGCGUUUGGGGAACUGAAGGCACCGGUUUGUAAUUGAAUUGAUUCUGUGACUGGUUAUUAUGCAGCCAGUGGUUGUGUGUAAUGAUUCAGUGCUAACCUCUGUAAGUGCUCAGAUUAUCGGUCAACGUGAAGGCACAAACAAGUGGGCAAUUAGCGAGUGGGAAUAAUCAAAACCACAGAGUUUGAAAUGACUCCUGUAGCUGGAAGUUAAUUCACUUUGAGUUUGCUGUGUUUAGUGGCUGGUGCUGGUGGGUUUUACUGUUCAGGUGUUCAGGGUGUAUCGCUGACAGCUGGGAUGGACUCCUGCACCUCGGCUCAGGUAAUGGACGGGUUGGAGUAGAGCAAUAAUUAAGAUGAAUGCAGCAGGAGCCGAUGCCGCGCAGACUCCCUUCACCUUUUACCUUCAGCUGGGAGCUCAUUGUGUUUAAUCUGCAGAGCGGUGAAGCUGCUGGAUGCACCAGGUCACAGAGGGGGGGGCGGACUCUCACCUUAUCUCCGUAUGUUAACGCUGCCGCUGCGUAUUGACGCAACCGUGUUUACUCACAGGCCUUUUUGUUCCUGUGUGAGCGCAUCGGACCGGGCGAGACCUCACCACUCAAGCAUGUUAAAGCGAGUGGGAGAAUGGGAACAGAUAAGGUGUGUUGUGUCUGCGAGCAUCUUAACGUGCGCGUCGGGGGUGAUGUGAAACCUUUAAAGAAGCGCUUUGCGUGUGUAAUCAAGAGGGAAACGAGCAGAGGUGGAGAGGAAUAAAUGGAAAGCAUCAGAGGAGCAUCGCCAAGUUUAAUCCCUGCAGCUACUGUAGCGAGGCAAGGAGCACAAACAGAAACAGGUGGGAGAAGGGGAGAUUAGAGGGGAAGGACGGAGAGGAACACCUAGAACACAGCAAAUGAGCGUUUUGGUGUUUGCGGACAAUAAAGCUGCUUACUAGAAGCCCCCAGUGUGUUUUUAUCUUUGUAGGACCAGGACUGUCCCAGUUUUGACAGUUAUGUGUGUUUCUAUGUGUGUUUUAAACAGAGGUCACUGAGCAUCAGCGCGUCUCGUUAACAAUCCACACACCUUCGCCGACGGCGCUCGCUGCUCCUGCGUCUUUUUGAUUAAAAUCAGCGCGGCGAAAGAAACCGAGCACAGACGUGUGCACGUUCGUGUGGCGGAUAAUAAACACGAAUACACACAUGCACAAUGCACAUGAUGUGUGUGUGUGUGUGUGUGUGUGUGUGUGUGUGUGUGUUUGUCUCUGUCUCCGUCUGUGCUUUCAUCCUGGGAAACUGCGUGGCGCUUGUUGUGCCUGGUGUCGUUUUCUGGAAAGUAGUCAAAAUGCAAAAGAAAGGAAGCUGGAGACACACAGACGAGCACACGCAUCCGCAUCCCAGCAGGAGCCGUCAGCCAGAAACACAUGCAUAAUGCAAGCUUUCAAUCUCCAAAUACUGCUGUUCCUCACUCAGUGCUUGUACAUGCACACACCUGCACACAUGCACUGACCAGCAGAACAACCUGUAUUAGUCUUGUCUGUCUAAUCAUCUUGUCUUGUCCACCGUCCGUGCACUGAAUGUCGAUGCGUUGCCUCGUGCUCGACAGCGGGAGGACACACACAUGAUUGUGCCGUUGCACGUUAAGUGCAUAUUUCAUGGCUGGGAUGUAGAAAGUGCCGUAGGCAGGAGGCUGAGGAACAAUGCAGAGGUUGUUCCGACACUUCUAUUUACACUCGUAGGGAUGAUGAUGGGAUUUUGCCUGUCAUCUUGCAGAGGGCUUCUAAUCAUAUACCUCAGGGCUGUUGAAAUGAGUCAUCCAACUGGCUUUAACCAGAGGGAGAUCUGUGAGUCCUGAUGGAUCCCCCAGGAGGGGCUAAGGCAGUGGCUGGAGAACAGGUAACAGCUGGGACACUUGACCUAAGCACGGGCAAGACCGCAGCUAAUGUAUGUAGGUAUUUGGCACCUGAUUCACUCUGCUCCUCUGUUCCUGUGUUUAAGACGAUACUUCCCUGAUCCUCAUCCGGUUCACGGAGUCCAGCUGAUGAGAGUUGGAAAGCUGCAGCAUUACCUGGAGCACACCCAGGACGCACUGGACACAUUCAAACAGGCCUAUCAGAUCCUGAAGCUCACUCACGGGGGUGAUCACC